GUACAGAGGGUGUUGCCUUGCUGACGACCGGCGCACGGGUGCGUAACGCGUAUGCAACCUACCUUCUACAGGGGGAUAGCCCAGAGAAAUUUGGAAUAAUACCCCAUACGAUCAUUGAUUGGCAUCGAUCAAUGAGGAAAACUCAGGUGGUAGAAGAUGGGCAUGCGUCCUAUUAGUUAGUUGGUGAGGUAACGGCUCACCAAGACGUCGAUAGGUAGGGGCCCUGAGAGGGGGAUCCCCCACACUGGUACUGAGACACGGACCAGACUCCUACGGGAGGCAGCAGUGAGGAAUAUUGGACAAUGGGGGCAACCCUGAUCCAGCCAUGCCGCGUGCAGGAAGACUGCCCUAUGGGUUGUAAACUGCUUUUAUACAGGAAGAAACUGUGCUACGUGUAGUGCACUGACGGUACUGUAAGAAUAAGGAUCGGCUAACUCCGUGCCAGCAGCCGCGGUAAUACGGAGGAUCCAAGCGUUAUCCGGAAUCAUUGGGUUUAAAGGGUCCGUAGGUGGUUAAUUAAGUCAGAGGUGAAAGCCAGCAGCUCAAUUGUUGAACUGCCUUCGAUACUGAU
rnacentral:rRNA from 1 species